GUCGAGCGGCAGCACAGAGAAACUUGUUUCUCGGGUGGCGAGCGGCGGUUGGGUGAGUAAUGCCUGGGAAAUUGCCCUGAUGUGGGGGAUAACCAUUGGAAACGAUGGCUAAUACCGCAUGAUGCCUACGGGCCAAAGAGGGGGACCUUCGGGCCUCUCGCGUCAGGAUAUGCCCAGGUGGGAUUAGCUAGUUGGUGAGGUAAGGGCUCACCAAGGCGACGAUCCCUAGCUGGUCUGAGAGGAUGAUCAGCCACACUGGAACUGAGACACGGUCCAGACUCCUACGGGAGGCAGCAGUGGGGAAUAUUGCACAAUGGGCGCAAGCCUGAUGCAGCCAUGCCGCGUGUGUGAAGAAGGCCUUCGGGUUGUAAAGCACUUUCAGUAGGGAGGAAGGUGGUAGUGUUAAUAGCGCUAUCAUUUGACGUUACCUACAGAAGAAGCACCGGCUAACUCCGUGCAGCAGCCGCGGUAAUACGGAGGGUGCGAGCGUUAAUCGGAAUUACUGGGCGUAAAGCGCAUGCAGGUGGUUUGUUAAGUCAGAUGUGAAAGCCCCGGGCUCAACCUGGGAAUUGCAUUUGAAACUGGCAAACUAGAGUACUGUAGAGGGGGGUAGAAUUUCAGGUGUAGCGGUGAAAUGCGUAGAGAUCUGAAGGAAUACCGGUGGCGAAAGCGGCCCCCUGGACAGAUACUGACACUCAGAUGCGAAAGCGUGGGGAGCAAA
rnacentral:rRNA from 1 species